rnacentral:rRNA from 1 species
UACGUAGGGGGCUAGCGUUGUCCGGAAUCAUUGGGCGUAAAGAGCGCGUAGGCGGCUCGGUAAGUCCGCUGUAAAAGUCAAAGGCUCAACCUUUGAAUGUCAGUGGAAACUGCCGGGCUAGAGUCCGGAAGAGGCGAGUGGAAUUCCUGGUGUAGCGGUGGAAUGCGCAGAUAUCAGGAGGAACACCAACGGCGAAGGCAGCUCGCUGGGACGGUACUGACGCUGAGGCGCGAAAGCGUGGGGAGCGAACAGG